UACGAGUGCUCCAAGCGUUAUCCGGAAUCAUUGGGCGUAAAGGGUGUGUAGGCGGUUGUGUUAGUCUUUUGUUAAAUUCUUCGGCUUAACCGGGGGCAUGCGAAGGAAACGGCACAACUAGAGGAUGCGAGAGGUGAAUGGAACUCAUGGAGUAGGGGUGAAAUCCGUUGAUAUCAUGGGGAACACCAAAUGCGAAGGCAAUUCACUGGCGCACUCCUGACGCUGAGACACGAAAGCGUAGGUAGCGAAUGGG
rnacentral:rRNA from 1 species